rnacentral:rRNA from 1 species
AGAAAGGGACGGCUAACUACGUGCCAGCAGCCGCGGUAAUACGUAGGUCCCGAGCGUUGUCCGGAUUUAUUGGGCGUAAAGCGAGCGCAGGCGGUUAGAUAAGUCUGAAGUUAAAGGCUGUGGCUUAACCAUAGUACGCUUUGGAAACUGUUUAACUGAGUGCAGAAGGGGAGAGUGGAAUUCCAUGUGUAGCGGUGAAAUGCGUAGAUAUAUGGAGGAACACCGGUGGCGAAAGCGGCUCUCUGGUCUGUAACUGACGCUGAGGCUCGAAAGCGUGGGGAGCGAACAGGAUUAGAUACCCUGGUAGUCCACGCCGUAAACGAUGAGUGCUAGGUGUUAGGCCCUCCGGGGCUUAGUGCCGCAGUAACGCAUUAAGCACUCCGCCUGGGGAGUACGACCGCAAGGUUGAAACUCAAAGGAAUUGACGGGGGCCCGCACAAAGCGGUGGAGCAUGUGGUUUAAUUCGAAGCAACGCGGAAGAACCUUACCAGGUCUUGACAUCCCGAUGCCCGCUCUAGAGAUAGAGUUUUACUUCGGUACAUCGGUGACAGGUGGUGCAUGGUUGUCGUCAGCUCGUGUCGUGAGAUGUUGGGUUAAGUCCCGCAACGAGCGCAACCCUUAUUGUUAGUUGCCAUCAUUCAGUUGGGCACUCUAGCGAGACUGCCGGUAAUAAACCGGAGGAAGGUGGGAUGACGUCAAAUCAUCAUGCCCCUUAUGACCUGGGCUACACACGUGCUACAAUGGCUGGGUACAACGAGUCGCAAGUCGGUGACGGCAAGCUAAUCUCUUAAAGCCAGUCUCAGUUCGGAUUGUAGGCUGCAACUCGCCUACAUGAAGUCGGAAUCGCUAGUAAUCGCGGAUCAGCACGCCGCGGUGAAUACGUUCCCGGGCCUUGUACACAGCCCGUCACACCACGAGAGUUUGUAACACCCGAAGUCGGUGAGGUAACUUUUAGGAGCCAGCCGCCUAAGGUGGGAUAGAUGAUUGGGGUGAAGUCGUAACAAGGUAGCCGUAUCGGAAGGUGCGGCUGGAUCACCU